rnacentral:rRNA from 1 species
UACGUAGGGACCAAGCGUUGUUCGGAUUUACUGGGCGUAAAGGGCGCGUAGGCGGCGUGACAAGUCACUUGUGAAAUCUCCGGGCUUAACUCGGAACGGUCAAGUGAUACUGUCGUGCUAGAGUGCAGAAGGGGCAAUCGGAAUUCUUGGUGUAGCGGUGAAAUGCGUAGAUAUCAAGAGGAACACCUGAGGUGAAGACGGGUUGCUGGGCUGACACUGACGCUGAGGAGCGAAAGCGUGGGGAGCAAACAGG